AUUGAACGCUGGCGGCAGGCCUAACACAUGCAAGUCGAACGGUAACAGGAAGAAGCUUGCUUCUUUGCUGACGAGUGGCGGACGGGUGAGUAAUGUCUGGGAAACUGCCUGAUGGAGGGGGAUAACUACUGGAAACGGUAGAUAAUACAGCAUAACGUCGCAAGCAUAAAGAGGGGGACCUUCGGGCCUCUUGUCAUCGGAUGUGCCCAGAUGGGAGUGGCUAGUAGGUGGGGUAACGGUUCACCUAGGUGACGAUGGCUAGCUGAUGUGAGAGGAUGACCAGCCACACUGGAGGUGAAACGCGGACCAUGCUCCUACGGGAGGCAGCAGUGUGGAAUAGUGCACAGUGGUGGCAAACCUGGUGCAACCGUGCCACGUGUAUGAAGGAAGCCUUCGGUUUGUGAAGUACUUUCAGCGGUGGGGAAGGGAGUAAAGUUGAUACCUUUGCUCAUUGACGUUACCCGCAAAAGAAGCACCGGCUAACUCCGUG
rnacentral:rRNA from 1 species